UGAGGAGAUUCACACUGUGUGAAUGAUGGGAGGAAGAUGCUCUUUGGAAGGGGAACCAGACUAACCAUUGAACCCAAGGUAGAAUACGAACCCGAAUUUUACGAACUGAAGAGCAAAGAUGGAAACACCAAGGCAUGCCUGGCCACCGGUUUUACAAGACAAAAUGGUGCUGAAGAUAAAAAGUCCAAGUUGUUCAAAAACACGGAGCCUGGACGGAUAUCUUCAGAUCUCGGCAUCUACAACCAAGUGGCUUUAAUGGACGGAGACACUGACGAAUGCGAAGGUAAACCUGAAGGAACCGGUGAAUCUAAGCCCUGCACGGUUGAACUGGAACCAGAUACGAUAAUCAACACGGCGGCCUUCACCAUCCUCGGGCUCAGAGUGAUCUUCCUCAAGACCAUCGUCUUCAACGUCCUGAUGACGCUGCGGCUGUGGAUCAGUCAUUAAACUGGUCAGAAAAGUUCGAGAAGACGGUUGACGGGAGACAUGGAGGUCGCUGAUCUUCACCGUGUACAGAUAUCAUAUAUUCACCGUUAAUACCACAGCGAGGACAGAUUAAUGCUGCCCUGCGGUUUAUGAGCUUUUCGUUAUUUUAAAGCAGCUUUUUGUCUUGUUUUUAUGAACAAAUGAAUGUUUCCUCUUUGUGUAAAUAUGAAAGAUGAUUUUCUGCUCUGUGUGAAACUUCCUGUUUAAAUAAAACUCACAA